CCUACGGGUGGCAGCAGUGGGGAAUUUUGGACAAUGGGCGCAAGCCUGAUCCAGCUAUUCCGCGUGUGGGAAGACGGCCUUCGGGUUGUAAACCACUUUUGUAGAGAAAGAAAAGUCUAUUGAUAAUUCCGAUAGACGAUGACGGUACUCUAAGAAUAAGCACCGGCUAACUACGUGCCAGCAGCCGCGGUAAUACGUAGGGUGCGAGCGUUAAUCGGAAUUACUGGGCGUAAAGGGUGUGCAGGCGGUUUUGCAAGUCUGAUGUGAAAGCCCCGGGCUUAACCUGGGAAAGCCAUACAUGACUGGCAAACUAGAGUGCGUCAGAGGGGAGUGGAAUUCCAAGUGAAGCAGUGAAAUGCGUAGAUAUUUGGAAGAACACCGAUGGCGAAGGCAGCCCACUGGGACGCAACUGACGCUGAUACACGAAAGCGUGGGGAGCAAACAGGAUUAGAUACCCUUGUAGUC
rnacentral:rRNA from 1 species